AUUGAACGCUGGCGGCAUGCCUUACACAUGCAAGUCGAACGGCAGCGCGGGAGCAAUCCUGGCGGCGAGUGGCGAACGGGUGAGUAAUACAUCGGAACGUGCCCAAUCGUGGGGGAUAACGCAGCGAAAGCUGUGCUAAUACCGCAUACGAUCUACGGAUGAAAGCAGGGGAUCGCAAGACCUUGCGCGAAUGGAGCGGCCGAUGGCAGAUUAGGUAGUUGGUGAGGUAAAGGCUCACCAAGCCUUCGAUCUGUAGCUGGUCUGAGAGGACGACCAGCCACACUGGGACUGAGACACGGCCCAGACUCCUACGGGAGGCAGCAGUGGGGAAUUUUGGACAAUGGGCGAAAGCCUGAUCCAGCCAUGCCGCGUGCAGGAUGAAGGCCUUCGGGCUGUAAACUGCUUUUGUACGGAACGAAACGGUCUUUUCUAAUAAAGAAGGCUAAUGACGGUACCGUAAGAAUAAGCACCGGCUAACUACGUG
rnacentral:rRNA from 1 species